rnacentral:rRNA from 1 species
GGAUCCAGACUUUGAUUAUGGCUCAGGAAGCACGCUGGCGGCGCGCCUAACACAUGCAAGUCGAACGAGAGAGAGGGAGCUUGCUUCCUCAAUCGAGUGGCGAACGGGUGAGUAACGCGUGAGGAACCUGCCUCAAAGAGGGGGACAACAGUUGGAAACGACUGCUAAUACCGCAUAAGCCCACAGGUCGGCAUCGACCAGGGGGAAAGGGAGCAAUCCGCUUUGAGAUGGCCUCGCGUCCGAUUAGCUAGUUGGUGAGGUAACGGCCCACCAAGGCAACGAUCGGUAGCCGGGACUGAGAGGUUGAACGGCCACAUUGGGACUGAGACACGGCCCAGACUCCUACGGGAGGCAGCAGUGGGGAAUAUUGCACAAUGGGGGAACCCUGAUGCAGCGACGCCGCGUGGAGGAAGAAGGUCUUCGGAUUGUAAACUCCUGUUGUUGAGGAAGAUAAUGACGGUACUCAACAAGGAAGUGACGGCUAACUACGUGCCAGCAGCCGCGGUAAAACGUAGGUCACAAGCGUUGUCCGGAAUUACUGGGUGUAAAGGGAGCGCAGGCGGGAAGACAAGUUGGAAGUGAAAUCUAUGGGCUCAACCCAUAAACUGCUUUCAAAACUGUUUUUCUUGAGUAGUGCAGAGGUAGGCGGAAUUCCCGGUGUAGCGGUGGAAUGCGUAGAUAUCGGGAGGAACACCAGUGGCGAAAGGCGGCCUACUGGGCACCAACUGACGCUGAGGCUCGAAAGUGUGGGUAGCAAACAGGAUUAGAUACCCUGGUAGUCCACACCGUAAACGAUGAUUACUAGGUGUUGGAGGAUUGACCCCUUCAGUGCCGCAGUUAACACAAUAAGUAA